GAGGGUAUUGCCGGAUUUAUCACUAUUUUUCGUUGUUUUGGAUUAAAACGUGGGAUGCUUUUUGAAGAGUGGACCCUUACGUUGCAAUGUACGUUGAAGUUUUUGGGAAUUGUCAGAGAUGAUCAGAACCAUAUGGCAAGACAUUGUCAAGUCUGUGCUCAUCAAGACAUGAAGACUCUGGAGUGGGACAAAAGAAGGAUGAUGUGGUGUAUAUUCCAAUAUACACAUUAAGUGAAAGCUGAUAAAUACAGAGAGCUGGACACUGGUUUCAUUGAUUAGGUAAAGAGGUGGGACAAGGAUGCUGACAGGACAGGAGGUGGUGACAUUCAGGUUAGUGACAGUACAUCGGGGCCACCAUUUAAUUUAAUGUUAAUUUGUGUGCUUGCUUUUACUUCAUGUGUUAGUGUGUCAUUUAAUUUUGACAAACUCCAGAAUCAAUACUUGACAAAUCUUUACAAUCAUAUUUGCAAAGCUGACUUUCUCAUAGGUGGAUGAGGUAUGACAGCAAUUGUGAAGACCUUAGACGUGCAGUAUAUGGUUCUUCUCACAAAUUGAUGUUUAUUCCCUUCUCUAUCCUUUAUAUUGAUUUGACUUAGUUUUCUUGGUAAAUAAUAAUGGGGAUAUUCCUUAUAUAAUAUAUUUUAAGUACAUGCUAAGAACAUAUCUCAUUUGCUUUUAAGUUCCUACAUGAAAAUUAUGUCUUUAAGUUCUAAGCUAUGUUUCAUUUUAUUUAGACAUUUAGCGCAAACACUUUCGUCCAAAGCAACUUGAGGAAGAAAACAAGAAGCAGUUCACCCUAAAAAAUUGCUUUAUAAUUAAAGUUGUUGGUGUUAGAUUCAUGCCAAUAAUGUAUUUGAACAAACUAGUAUUUUUGUUUAUUGCUGGCAUUUUAUACUAGAAUAAUUUUAACACAUACAAUGUAUGUUUCGUGGUGUUUUUGACUUGUGUGUUAUUGAU